UUUCUCCUUGAAUCGGAUUCCCUUUAAUCUCAUCAUUUACGUCUCACCCACUACUCAUCCCGAAUUAAACAUCAUCAUUAUUAUCAAACGUAACUGAUUCAAGCUCUUCCCUAUAAAUUGGUUCUUAUCUAAUUGAUCAAGAGAAGGGAUCUCUACGCACAGUUCAACGAAAUCUCAAAGUAAAAAACUUCAUCAAGCUUUGAUUCCACCAAUGGCCGCUUCCGCUACUUGCUAACUUGAGAGUCGGCUGUUCCAACACCGCUGAGACGACAUGCUUUUUUUGGAUGAGCAGAGAUUGCAGUAACAGUGUCCUCUCCGAUCUGAAGUCCGGUCGUGCUUCUCAUGACUUUUGACAAUUUCUUCUAGGAAAGUCCAAGAAAGACAAAACAACGACUAUAAACCUUAUAUGGAUGUUAGUGAGAAGAGUUCUAACUACUGUAUGUUAAGAUAAGCACAAGAAAUGGAGGACUCCAGAAAUGUCUGAAACCAGACAAAGACGAAAAUGAUAUUAUAGAGACGGAAUGAGAUUCGUUACAUUGAGAAUAAAUAAUAUUAACAUUGCUCAAACUCUAAGUUGAGAGUUUCAUACAGACCAGACCCUA